GUCUUUUUGGUUAUUUAAUAUAAAGUCUGACCUGCCCACUGAAUUUAUUUUGAAGGGCCGCAGUAUUUUGACUGUGCAAAGGUAGCAUAAUCAUUAGUCUUUUAAUUGAAGGCUGGUAUGAAUGGUUGGAUGAGGUACAAGCUGUGUCAUAAAAAUUAACUUUUGAAUUUACCUUUUUAGUCAAAAGGCUAAAAUAAAAUUAAAAGACGAGAAGACCCUAUAGAGCUUUAUAUAAUUUAUAUUUAAAUUAUUUAGAUUUUUUAAAUUUAAUUAUUUCAUUAUAUUUUGUUGGGGUGACAAUAAAAUUUAUAAAACUUUUAUUUUUAUUAAACAUUUAUUUAUGGUUAUAUGAUCCAGUUUUAUUGAUUAUAAAUUUAAGUUACCUUAGGGAUAACAGCGUAAUUUUUUUUGAGAGUUCUUAUCGACAAAAAAGAUUGCGACCUCGAUGUUGGAUUAAGAGUAAUUUUGGGUGUAGAAGUUCAAAGUUUAAGUCUGUUCGACUUUUAAAUUCUUACAU
rnacentral:rRNA from 1 species